GAUACCCACGAGUACGGGUUUUCUUGCCAUGUCUACUCGGAGCCCAUGUAUCAUGUACACCUCCAAAAUAAAGAGUCUUGGAUAUUAGAAAAAACACAUCUAUAUUUAACAAGAUUAAGUGAAUACCUAAAAUUAUAAUUAUUUUAUUUCUCUCUUUCCA
rfam:Glycine max cultivar Williams 82 chromosome 11, whole genome shotgun sequence.